rnacentral:rRNA from 1 species
UCGUUGAUUUCACACUGCCGAGAAAAGCCUCUAGAUAGAAAAUAGGUGCCCGUACCGCAAACCGACACAGGUAGUCAAGAUGAGAAUUCUAAGGUGAGCGAGCGAACUCUCGUUAAGGAACUCGGCAAAAUGACCCCGUAACUUCGGGAGAAGGGGUGCUCUUUAGGGUUAACGCCCAGAAGAGCCGCAGUGAAUAGGCCCAAGCGACUGUUUAUCAAAAACACAGGUCUCUGCUAAACCGUAAGGUGAUGUAUAGGGGCUGACGCCUGCCCGGUGCUGGAAGGUUAAGAGGAGUGGUUAGCUUCUGCGAAGCUACGAAUCGAAGCCCCAGUAAACGGCGGCCGUAACUAUAACGGUCCUAAGGUAGCGAAAUUCCUUGUCGGGUAAGUUCCGACCCGCACGAAAGGCGUAACGAUUUGGGCACUGUCUCAACGAGAGACUCGGUGAAAUCAUAGUACCUGUGAAGAUGCAGGUUACCCGCGACAGGACGGAAAGACCCCGUGGAGCUUUACUGUAGCCUGAUAUUGAAAUUCGGCACAGCUUGUACAGG